rnacentral:rRNA from 1 species
UACAGAGGAGGCAAGCGUUGUUCGGAAUCACUGGGCUUAAAGCGCGUGUAGGCGGCCCGUCAAGUACCUUGUGAAAUCCCUCGGCUCAACCGGGGAAUGGCUGGGUAUACUGACAGGCUUGAGGUUGGUAGGGGUGCCUGGAACUCUAGGUGGAGCGGUGAAAUGCGUAGAUAUCUGGAGGAACACCGGUGGCGAAGGCGACAUCCUGGACCGGUAUUGACGCUGAGGCGCGAAAGCCAGGGGAGCAAACGGG